UACGUAGGGGUGCAAGCGUUAAUCGGAAUUACUGGGGCGUAAAGCGUGCGCAGGCGGUUAUGUAAGACAGUUGUGAAAAUCCCCGGGGCUCCAACCUGGGAACUGCAUCUGUGACUGCAUAGCUAGAGUACGGUAGAGGGGGAUGGAAUUCCGCGUGUAGCAGUGAAAUGCGUAGAUAUGCGGAGGAACACCGAUGGCGAAGGCAAUCCCCUGGACCUGUACUGACGCUCAUGCACGAAAGCGUGGGGAGCAAACAGG
rnacentral:rRNA from 1 species